UCGCUUUUCACAUAGUAUAAUACAGUCUUCUUAUAUUCGAACGAAAGAGAAGAGUUCGUCCCUUCGGGGACAUCCGAUAAAAUUGGAACGAUACAGAGAAGAUUAGCAUGGCCCCUGCGCAAGGAUGACACGCACAAAUCGAGAAAUGGUCCAAAUUUUUUUUGCCUUUUCUCCCUCCCUCCCUCCUCGUGCUGCGGCGACGGGAAGCACCGGAAACCUAUUUGCGAUCUACAACGGUGGUGCGAAAGAUUGGCGGCAGUGAAAUCGGAAUCAAGCGAGAGUUGCAACCUCAGGGUUUUUCCUUGGAAUCUUGUUCUUUGAUGGGAAUCGGAAUCAUGCUAGAGUUACAAUCUCAGGCAGGUAAUCAAUCUCUUACAAAGCUGCACUUGGUAUGAGCUUCUAUUAUCAAAAGAGCUAGAAUUCACACACCACAGUGGCAUCUCACUAAACUCUUCCCUGUUCUGCUUCAUUACAAAACCAGUUCAAACAUUAAUAACAGUUGAAUAUUUAAAUGAAAAAGUAUGGGACAUGAUUCUUGAACUUGGCUUGGGGGUUAUGAAUUAUGAUGGAUUUGAUAAAUAUUUUGGGGUUAUCUUCUUGAGUUCAAAGGCAAGCAAGUCUUUCAACAGUUGUGGGCUGCAAGCUUAAUAUUCUUGGCAGCCAAUACUUUCAUCCUAAUGCAGAAUCACCGAUACUCGCCAUUGUUCAAACAGAUUGGAAUUGCAAAUUCCCAUGGAAUAAAAGACGACUAACAAGUUGGGCCACCUAUGAGCAUUUGGCAUCAGUUAAGUUACCCACCUCUCUGAAGGGAAGAGAACCCUUAUCAAGGGUGACACGGGUUCUUGUUUAUUUAUUUGUAUAUUAGUGCAAAUCAAACUUAGUCACAUAUAGUUCAGUUCAGUUCAGUCAAUUGUGUGUUGUUUCAAAGUAGCUUCAAGGGGAAAAAGAGGGUAUUUAGAUUCAGUGCUAAAUGGAGUUAUAAGUGCACAGUUUGUUGUCUUUAGCUGUUUGGUAAUUCCUGUGUUUGAUUUUUUGUAUAUAUAUAUAGCAAUUGUA